GCGCACGGGUGAUUAACGCGUAUCCAACCUGCCCACCACUUGGGGAUAACCUUGCGAAAGUAAGACUAAUACCCAAUGACGUCUCUAGAGGACAUCUGAAAGAGAUUAAAGAUUUAUCGGUGAUGGAUGGGGAUGCGUCUGAUUAGCUUGUUGGCGGGGUAACGGCCCACCAAGGCUACGAUCAGUAGGGGUUCUGAGAGGAAGGUCCCCCACAUUGGAACUGAGACACGGUCCAAACUCCUACGGGAGGCAGCAGUGAGGAAUAUUGGUCAAUGGACGAGAGUCUGAACCAGCCAAGUAGCGUGCAGGAUGACGGCCCUAUGGGUUGUAAACUGCUUUUAUAAGGGAAUAAAGUGAGUCUCGUGAGACUUUUUGCAUGUACCUUAUGAAUAAGGACCGGCUAAUUCCGUGCCAGCAGCCGCGGUAAUACGGAAGGUCCGGGCGUUAUCCGGAUUUAUUGGGUUUAAAGGGAGCGUAGGCCGGAGAUUAAGCGUGUUGUGAAAUGUAGAUGCUCAACAUCUGCACUGCAGCGCGAACUGGUUUCCUUGAGUACGCACAAAGUGGGCGGAAUUCGUGGUGUAGCGGUGAAAUGCUUAGAUAUCACGAAGAACUCCGAUUGCGAAGGCAGCUCACUGGAGCGCAACUGACGCUGAAGCUCGAAAGUGCGGGUAUCGAACAGGAUUAGAUACCCUGGUAGUCCGCACGGUAAACGAUGGAUGCCCGCUGUUGGUCUGAAUA
rnacentral:rRNA from 1 species